rnacentral:rRNA from 1 species
AUUGAACGCUGGCGGCAGGCCUAACACAUGCAUGUCGAACGGUAACAGGAAACAGCUUGCUGUUUCGCUGACGAGUGGCGGACGGGUGAGUAAUGUCUGGGAAACUGCCUGAUGGAGGGGGAUAACUACUGGAAACGGUAGCUAAUACCGCAUAACGUCGCAAGACCAAAGAGGGGGACCUUCGGGCCUCUUGCCAUCGGAUGUGCCCAGAUGGGAUUAGCUAGUAGGUGGGGUAACGGCUCACCUAGGCGACGAUCCCUAGCUGGUCUGAGAGGAUGACCAGCCACACUGGAACUGAGACACGGUCCAGACUCCUACGGGAGGCAGCAGUGGGGAAUAUUGCACAAUGGGCGCAAGCCUGAUGCAGCCAUGCCGCGUGUAUGAAGAAGGCCUUCGGGUUGUAAAGUACUUUCAGCGGGGAGGAAGGGAGUAAAGUUAAUACCUUUACUCAUUGACGUUACCCGCAGAAGUAGCACCGGCUAACUCCGUG